rnacentral:rRNA from 1 species
CAGUCGCCACGGUAAUACGGAGGGAGCUAGCGUUGUUCGGAAUUACUGGGCGUAAAGCGCACGUAGGCGGCUUUGUAAGUUAGAGGUGAAAGCCUGGAGCUCAACUCCAGAAUUGCCUUUAAGACUGCAUCGCUUGAAUCCGAGAGAGGUGAGUGGAAUUCCGAGUGUAGAGGUGAAAUUCGUAGAUAUUCGGAAGAACACCAGUGGCGAAGGCGGCUCACUGGCUCGGUAUUGACGCUGAGGUGCGAAAGCGUGGGGAGCAAACAGGAUUAGAUACCCGUGUAGUCCCUGUCUCUUAUAU